rnacentral:rRNA from 1 species
CGGUUUAAUUGGAUUCAACGCCGGAAUCUUACCGGACCGACAGCAAUAUGAAGGCCAGGCUGAAGACUUUGCCGGAUUAGCUGAGAGGUGGUGCAUGGCCGUCGUCAGUUCGUACUGUGAAGCAUCCUGUUAAGUCAGGCAACGAGCGAGACCCACGCCCACAGUUGCCAGCGUACUCUCUGGAGUGACGGGUACACUGUGGGGACCGCCGCUGCUAAAGCGGAGGAAGGAAUGGGCAACGGUAGGUCAGUAUGCCCCGAAUAUCCCGGGCUACACGCGAGCUACAAUGGUUGGUACAAUGGGUAUCUACCCCGAAAGGGGGACGGGAAUCUCCUAAAACCAAUCUUAGUUCGGAUUGAGGGCUGCAACUCGCCCUCAUGAAGCUGGAAUCCGUAGUAAUCGCGUUUCAACAGAACGCGGUGAAUACGUCCCUGCUCCUU